CCCAAGUUGGAUGCCCAACUGACUGAGCCACCCAGGUGCCCCUAGAUAAGAUUUAUUUUACCAAAGCAGAGUCAUUACAUAUUCUUCUACAACAUCACUUUUAAUGACCACAUAGUAUUAUGUUAUAUGAAUAUGUUAGCAUUUAUUGAAUGAGGUUUUACAUAUAUCAGCUAUCAAUAAAACAGAACCAUAGUCUAGGGUCAGGGUGAUCAAAACAGUAAAUGUGACAGUUUUGUUCUUUUGCUGAUCCACUCAUUUGACAAAUAUGUUCUGGGUACUCUCUGUGUGCCAGCAUUGUGUCAGGUGCUGGAGAGCCCAAAAGUGAGAGAUGAACAGAGCUUUUCCUUGUUAGGGUAGCCAUUGUGCAGGUGAAAGUCACCAUGGUGUAACAAAAUGUUGCUGCCCUACUGUACCUCCCUCAUCCCUCUUACAACAUGGCCACCAUUCCACCAGAAUAGACAGGAGCUCAAGAGAAAGAAGGACAUUUUAAUUUGCUUGUUUUGUUGUUUAUUGAAAGCCUUUAUUUAUAUUAAGUAGAUGAAGCCCAAGAAACCGUAUGAACAUGUGAUAGGUUGCAUUAUUUGUUAAUUUUUCCUUCACUCACUGCCCUUUUCUCAGCUUCCCUGUGGCUAAGGUAUACUCCCUACUCCAUCCAUUGACUUUGACUUUGGCCAUGUGACUUGCUAUGAACAAAUGGAAUAUGGGUAGAAGUGCCAGUGUUGCCGUUCCAAGUAGAGGUUAGAGAGGAUGGCAUAUUUCUCCCAUUUAGAAAUGGGUAUGCUCAGGGCACCUGGGUGGCUCAGUCAACUGAAAAUUCAACUUCGGCUCAGGUCAUGAUCUCCCAGUUUGUGAGUUCAAGCCCCACGUUGGGUUUGCUGCUGUCAGCGCAGAGCCUGCUUCAGAUCCUCUUUCCCCCUCUUUCUGCUCCUCCCCUGCUUGUGCUUUCUCAAAAAUAAACAUAAAAAAAAAACACAAAAACACAAAAAUAAAAAUAAAAAAAAGAAGUGGGUAUACUGUCUUGUGCUCUCGCCCUAUACCAUUAGAAGAGUAUGUUUUCAACAGAUAGCUGUUGCUCCUUCAGUUUGUCUGGGUCCCAAAAUGAGAGAUACAUGGAGCUACCUGAACCUAACCUGUAGCUUAAGGCAGAGCUUCCCCAGAGACCCACAGAUUUAUAGGCAAGAAAUAAAUGUUUUCUAUAAUAAGCCACUGAUACUUUGGGAUUGUUUCUUAUACCACAUCAUCAUAGCAAUACUAGACUAAUCCAGAACUACACAAAAUAAAGUACUCAGUUGUGAGUACUCAUCAUCUUUCUGCCUCACCAGUCAGAAUCAAUCUCCCCUUUGUGCUUCCUUAGUGUUUUCAUGUGCCUCUGUUAUAGCUGACACUUACCACAGCCUGCCUCUGUACACAUACUGUUGUAUAUGUGUCUGGAAUAUAUGGUAUUUACUGUUUUGUUUUGUGUUUUGAGGGGAGGGUACUCUUCACAGUGUCUCUAGACUAUCUAGUGCUCAGCAUGUAGUAGAUAUGCAAAGAUACUUAGUUGAAUGAAUGAAUUAGAAGGUCUUCUAAUUAGGUGAGCUGAUGGAAUGGAACUGAUCAAUGGCAUGCCACCCUACCCCUUGAGAUGCAAUAUGGUAUAUAAAUUCAAGCACAAAAAUUGCAUCCUACUUUUAGUGGAAAUAGGGAAGAAUAAGCAGACAUUUAAACCAGGGCAAGUUAUACAGGAGACAGUACCUUAUCCUAGAAAGAGACUGCGCCAAUAGUCAAGAGACCCGAAUUCAGGUUCUGAUUUGGAUACGAGCCAGCUGUGUUACCUUGGGAAGCUACUUAACCUCUCUGGGCUUCAUUUUUCCACCUGAAAUGUGGAACGGGUAAUUUUACUUACAACAUUGUUAUAAAGAUCCAAAAUAUGUACACAUAUGACAGAAAAAUAUCAAGCCCUACUAGUCCAUAUUAAGCCUAGCAAAUCAGCUUGCUAUCUUUUUUAUGGGAAGGCAGCUCCCAUUCCAUACACCUCCAGGAAGCCAAAUGAUGGAUCAUUAAAUGACCACUUAAGCUCACAUUGAACCACUGUAGGAGUUGCUCGCUUAAAGUGAUUACUGUUUGGCAGUGACUUUUGACAGGUGCUUGUUUUUCAUCUGGAAAACAAAAACUGAAUAUUUUAAAUGUUUUAUUGCCAGGGACUAUGUUAAAAUUGAGAUUUAUUUUUACUUAUUGUAUCUUCCAGGCAAAGCUAAUUCCUCCUCUCAGUUCCCUCAGGAUUUAGUUUACACCUUCUUACAACUGAAUUGUUUGUAUCCCAAACCAGUUUGUGAGAUCUUGAGGCCCAGGCCCAUGUGGGAGGUUUUCAAGCUAUGCUAGAGUAGGGAAGUAUACAGCACAUUUUAAAAGGACUUUUUAACAAAGCAAUUAGCAUUUUAUGUGUUAGAACUCAAGGGAAAGCUUAAAUUUUCCACAAAAGUUGUGUAUGUUCAAUAAUACCUUGUGUAUCAAUGAUGUCGAUUAAUUGAGAAACUAUUGUGCCUCUAAUAUAUUCUAUGCAAAAAGUACAUAUGUAACUAUGAUAUUCUAAAAUGUAUUUUAUCUUCCUUAUUCUCUUUUAUAGAGAAAUCAUACAUGAUGUUUCAUUUCCCGUCCUGCUCUAGAUCUUGAAGAUGGAUUUGAGUCACAAAGCACAAAGGAAAGAACACAGAUUUUGGAUUCUGAUAUCUCAUGGUCAAAUCCUCACUCUUGCCUUUUAUACAUCUUGCGAUGCUAGGCAUGAUUCUUGACAUUUUUUUUUUUAAGUUCAGUUUCCUUAUCGGCAAAAUGAGGAUUACAUUACUUCUCUUGCAGGGUUGCAAAGUUUAGAAAUAAUCUAUGAAGAUACCCAGCACCAUUCCUUACACAUAGUAGGUGUUCAACAAAACACAGUUACCAUUGCUUAGUCAUUAUUAUUGUGCUUUGACAUAGGACAGUGGUGACACUCUCUCAGAGUUUUUGCCCCUAAAUGAAAAGUCUCCAUGUUACUGUACUUUUAGUUCUUCUAGUUUUAUAGUUUUUCCAUCUUCUCCCUCACUGGUAGGCUACCAGUUGUCAAUUCUAAUGGCCAUCAGUAAGAAAUGACAGCUGCCUCUUCUUGCUGUCAGACUGCUACCAACUAAGUUUCUGCCUCAAAUCUGCCUGGAAUUAUAUGUCAAAUGGAAUAAAUAAUACUGAGCAGAGACUGAAGAUGCCUUCCAUGGGGCCAAGUGAAUGACAUUUAGUGCAUGUGCUUUGUUACAUCUACUUUGGGGACUCAGUCUUCUUUUCUCUGUAUUACACUUUGUAUCAGGGUUUCUGAGGGCUAAGACGGCUAGCUGAAUAAUAUACUGACAAUAAGGGUCUGCUGUAUUUCUUUCCUGGAAAAGAAAGCAGUCUGAGAGACACAUCUCUAGAUAAUAUAGCAUAUAUACCUUUAAUAUGGCAUCGGUACCUUUAAAAAUGUUACUGUUGUUGUUACUAUUAUUAUUACUGUCUUGAAGUCAUUUUGCUCUGUGGUGUAUGCAAUGGGAAGAGCACUCGAUUGUGAGUCUGUUUUAGGUUCUGGCCUCCAAUCCGUGAAAUGACUUCUAGAAAAUGACUCACCCUCUCUGGGCCUUAGUUCCUUAAUCUGAAAAAAAAGUGAAAAGAUUCAACGGGAUGAUGUGUGAGCUCCUACAUUCUAUGAAUCUACAUCAAGGUACCCAGACGAUUGCUUGGCAAUAACUACAGUACAUCUGGAAAUAGACUUCACUUUACUGCUUUGGCCUUCGUGGUUUCCUCUAACUCAAGGCGUUGGAAGGCAGGAAACGCAUACUUUCCUCCAUCAUGAGGAACAUGGAAGCCACCUCAUUGAAUGUGCCUCAUGAGACAACUGUUAGAAGGACAAUUUGGUGCAGAUGAGCCCCUGCCUCUAUUCCCACCCACAUCUUCAGUCUGUCCGGUUUGCUGCCACUGGGUGCCUGGACCUAGUCCCCUCCCAUUCAGUAUGAUGUUCUCUACUGGCUGAGAUUCUACUUUGUCUACAGUGCAGUGAUGGGCAAUCUUUUCCCCAUAAGAGUUAGUUCAUGAAAAAUUAAAAUGUACACAGCCUA